AGUAACACGUAGGUAACCUGCCCAUGUGUCCGGGAUAACUGCUGGAAACGGUAGCUAAAACCGGAUAGGUAUACGGAGCGCAUGUUCUGUAUAUUAAAGCGCCCAUCAAGGCGUGAACAUGGAUGGACCUGCGGCGCAUUAGCUAGUUGGUGAGGUAACGGCCCACCAAGGCGAUGAUGCGUAGCCGGCCUGAGAGGGUAAACGGCCACAUUGGGACUGAGACACGGCCCAA
rnacentral:rRNA from 1 species